GAUCAUGGCUCAGGAUGAACGCUAGCGGCAGGCCUAACACAUGCAAGUCGAGGGGUAGUUACUUUCGGGUAAUGAGACCGGCGCACGGGUGCGUAACGCGUAUGCAAUCUACCUUUUACAGGGGAAUAGCCCAGAGAAAUUUGGAUUAAUACCUCAUAGUGUUAUUGAGUGGCAUCACUUAAUAACUAAAGUUCCAACGGUAUAAGAUGAGCAUGCGUCCUAUUAGCUAGAUGGUAAGGUAACGGCUUACCAUGGCUACGAUAGGUAGGGGUCCUGAGAGGGAGAUCCCCCACACUGGUACUGAGACACGGACCAGACUCCUACGGGAGGCAGCAGUGAGGAAUAUUGGACAAUGGGCGCAAGCCUGAUCCAGCCAUGCCGCGUGCAGGAAGACGCAUCUAUGGUGUGUAAACUGCUUUUGUACGGGAAGAAACACUCCUACGUGUAGGAGCUUGACGGUACCGUAAGAAUAAGGAUCGGCUAACUCCGUG
rnacentral:rRNA from 1 species